rnacentral:rRNA from 1 species
UACGGAGGGUGCGAGCGUUGUCCGGAAUCACUGGGCGUAAAGGGCGCGUAGGCGGCUUGGGAAGUCUGUGGUGAAAGCCCGUGGCUCAACUACGGGUCGGCCAUGGAUACUCUCGAGCUGGAGCACUGUAGAGGCAGGUGGAAUUCCGGGUGUAGCGGUGGAAUGCGUAGAGAUCCGGAAGAACACCGGUGGCGAAGGCGGCCUGCUGGGCAGUAGCUGACGCUGAGGCGCGACAGCGUGGGGAGCAAACAGG